AGAUUGGGUUCUAGAGCCUUGCCUUCUCUCUCUCUCCCCCUCUCCUAAAACUGGACUUUGAAGACACCUCCCAACUUCUCUUUAUAAAUAAAUAGACUUGAUAAAAGAAAUUUGUGAGAGAGGUGGUAGAUGGGCUUAAGCUUUUUCAAGCAACCAAGACUUGCUAAGAUGUAGCCUUUAUCUGCAUUUGCACCUGCACCUUCUUGUUUAAUUCUCUGCUUCAGAAGCCAAAUGUGUUUGUUUGUGAUGUUGAUGAAAAUAGAAUAGGACUAAAACAAAAAAUAAUAAUAAGGUGCAGGUGCAGGCGCAGCUGAAUGCCAUUUUGGCCUUUUUCUUUUGGACACAGCGUGUACUUAUCCAUUUCACAUUAACCAUGUUCCAGGUUUCGUUAAAGAUCCCGCGGCCAUCGUUAUACUGUUGAAGCUUUGAAGACGUUUUGUUACUCAUCACUAGGGCUUCUCAAGGUAACAGGUUUAAUGUUACUCUCCUUUUAUAUAUAUUUCUCUUUCUUUUCUACAACAGCAAUAAUUUUGAUUUAAUUUUACCGGCAAUGGCUAAAAGCUUGAUUUCCUGGCAAGAUACAUACUGGAUUUCCAAAGAUCAUAAAUAUCUGAAAGGGGGGACUAUUUUUCUUUUUGUUCAAACCUGAAAGGGAAAUACUGAAUUGUAGUGCAUUGGGGGGAUAUAUGGUGUUAUUCCUUGGGGAAAUUCAUCUAAUUCCACAUCGUGUCGUCAAUCAUUUCUCCUGCUUGGUGAGUACAUCAGACAGAUUUUGUUUCUUCUUCUGCGGAGGGUGAAAAGCUGUUGUGCACCUCAAGAACCCUAGAAUAGAUAAGACGUCCUUCAGCAUCGUAACUUAAAAACUUUUUUCAGGAUGGAUCGAAUUUGUGAGUAUUUUAGUGAAAAAAUAAACUUAAUAGAGCAAGGAAACUGAACAAUUUUUAUUCAACAA